rnacentral:rRNA from 1 species
GACGAACCGUGCAAACGUUAUUCGGAAUCACUGGGCAUAAAGGGCGCGUAGGCGGCUCCAAAAGUCAGGGGUGAAAUCCGGCAGCUUAACUGUCGCAGUGCCUUUGAUACUGUGGAGCUAGAGGGAGGUAGGGGUCUGUGGAACUCCGGUGGAGCGGUGAAAUGCGUUGAUAUCGGAAGGAACGCCGGUGGCGAAAGCGACGGACUGGAUCUCUUCUGACGCUGAGGCGCGAAAGCCAGGGG